rnacentral:rRNA from 1 species
AUUGAACGCUGGCGGCAGGCUUAACACAUGCAAGUCGAGCGGUAGCAGGGAGAAAGCUUGCUUUCUCCGCUGACGAGCGGCGGACGGGUGAGUAAUGUCUGGGGAUCUGCCUGAUGGAGGGGGAUAACUACUGGAAACGGUAGUUAAUACCGCAUAACGUCGCAAGACCAAAAUGGGGGACCUUCGGGCCUCAUGCCAUCAGAUGAACCCAGAUGGGAUUAGCUAGUAGGUGAGGUAAUGGCUCACCUAGGCGACGAUCCCUAGCUGGUCUGAGAGGAUGACCAGCCACACUGGAACUGAGACACGGUCCAGACUCCUACAGGAGGCAGCAGUGGGGAAUAUUGCACAAUGGGCGCAAGCCUGAUGCAGCCAUGCCGCGUGUAUGAAGAAGGCCUUCGGGUUGUAAAGUACUUUCAGUAGGGAGGAAGGUGUACGUGUUAAUAGCACGUACAAUUGACGUUACCUACAGAAGAAGCACCGGCUAACUCCGUGCCAGCCGCCGCCGUAA